CUAUACAUGCAAGUCGAACGAAACUUUCUUACACCGAAUGCUUGCAUUCACCGUAAGAAGUUGAGUGGCGGACGGGUGAGUAACACGUGGGUAACCUGCCUAAAAGAAGGGGAUAACACUUGGAAACAGGUGCUAAUACCGUAUAUCUCUAAGGAUCGCAUGAUCCUUAGAUGAAAGAUGGUUCUGCUAUCGCUUUUAGAUGGACCCGCGGCGUAUUAACUAGUUGGUGGGGUAACGGCCUACCAAGGUGAUGAUACGUAGCCGAACUGAGAGGUUGAUCGGCCACAUUGGGACUGAGACACGGCCCAAACUCCUACGGGAGGCAGCAGUAGGGAAUCUUCCACAAUGGACGCAAGUCUGAUGGAGCAACGCCGCGUGAGUGAAGAAGGUCUUCGGAUCGUAAAACUCUGUUGUUAGAGAAGAACACGAGUGAGAGUAACUGUUCAUUCGAUGACGGUAUCUAACCAGCAAGUCACGGCUAACUACGUGCCAGCAGCCGCGGUAAUACGUAGGUGGCAAGCGUUGUCCGGAUUUAUUGGGCGUAAAGGGAACGCAGGCGGUCUUUUAAGUCUGAUGUGAAAGCCUUCGGCUUAACCGGAGUAGUGCAUUGGAAACUGGAAGACUUGAGUGCAGAAGAGGAGAGUGGAACUCCAUGUGUAGCGGUGAAAUGCGUAGAUAUAUGGAAGAACACCAGUGGCGAAAGCGGCUCUCUGGUCUGUAACUGACGCUGAGGUUCGAAAGCGUGGGUAGCAAACAGGAUUAGAUACCCUGGUAGUCCACGCCGUAAACGAUGAAUGCUAGGUGUUGGAGGGUUUCCGCCCUUCAGUGCCGCAGCUAACGCAAUAAGCAUUCCGCCUGGGGAGUACGACCGCAAGGUUGAAACUCAAAGGAAUUGACGGGGGCCCGCACAAGCGGUGGAGCAUGUGGUUUAAUUCGAAGCAACGCGAAGAACCUUACCAGGUCUUGACAUCCUUUGACCACCUAAGAGAUUAGGUUUUCCCUUCGGGGACAAGUGACAGGUGGUGCAUGGCUGUCGUCAGCUCGUGUCGUGAGAUGUUGGGUUAAGUCCCGCAACGAGCGCAACCUUGUUGUCAGUUGCCAGCAUUAAGUUGGGCACUCUGGCGAGACUGCCGGUGACAACCGGAGAAGUGGGGACAACUUCAGUCAUCAGCCCCUAUGACCGGGGCACCACGUGCUACAUGGACGUACACAAUCCCGGAACCGCGGGUUACUAUCUUUAAACCUUUUAAUUCGAAUGAGGCGGACUCCCCACUAAAUCGAAUCCUGUAUCCGAAUAACAGUCCCGGGAAAAAUUCC
rnacentral:rRNA from 1 species